UUUUAUGGAGAGUUUGAUCCUGGCUCAGGAUGAACGCUGGCGGCGUGCCUAAUACAUGCAAGUCGAGCGAACGGACGAGAAGCUUGCUUCUCUGAUGUUAGCGGCGGACGGGUGAGUAACACGUGGAUAACCUACCUAUAAGACUGGGAUAACUUCGGGAAACCGGAGCUAAUACCGGAUAAUAUUUUGAACCGCAUGGUUCAAAAGUGAAAGACGGUCUUGCUGUCACUUAUAGAUGGAUCCGCGCUGCAUUAGCUAGUUGGUAAGGUAACGGCUUACCAAGGCAACGAUGCAUAGCCGACCUGAGAGGGUGAUCGGCCACACUGGAACUGAGACACGGUCCAGACUCCUACGGGAGGCAGCAGUAGGGAAUCUUCCGCAAUGGGCGAAAGCCUGACGGAGCAACGCCGCGUGAGUGAUGAAGGUCUUCGGAUCGUAAAACUCUGUUAUUAGGGAAGAACAUAUGUGUAAGUAACUGUGCACAUCUUGACGGUACCUAAUCAGAAAGCCACGGCUAACUACGUGCCAGCAGCCGCGGUAAUACGUAGGUGGCAAGCGUUAUCCGGAAUUAUUGGGCGUAAAGCGCGCGUAGGCGGUUUUUUAAGUCUGAUGUGAAAGCCCACGGCUCAACCGUGGAGGGUCAUUGGAAACUGGAAAACUUGAGUGCAGAAGAGGAAAGUGGAAUUCCAUGUGUAGCGGUGAAAUGCGCAGAGAUAUGGAGGAACACCAGUGGCGAAGGCGACUUUCUGGUCUGUAACUGACGCUGAUGUGCGAAAGCGUGGGGAUCAAACAGGAUUAGAUACCCUGGUAGUCCACGCCGUAAACGAUGAGUGCUAAGUGUUAGGGGGUUUCCGCCCCUUAGUGCUGCAGCUAACGCAUUAAGCACUCCGCCUGGGGAGUACGACCGCAAGGUUGAAACUCAAAGGAAUUGACGGGGACCCGCACAAGCGGUGGAGCAUGUGGUUUAAUUCGAAGCAACGCGAAGAACCUUACCAAAUCUUGACAUCCUUUGACAACUCUAGAGAUAGAGCUUUCCCCUUCGGGGGACAAAGUGACAGGUGGUGCAUGGUUGUCGUCAGCUCGUGUCGUGAGAUGUUGGGUUAAGUCCCGCAACGAGCGCAACCCUUAAGCUUAGUUGCCAUCAUUAAGUUGGGCACUCUAAGUUGACUGCCGGUGACAAACCGGAGGAAGGUGGGGAUGACGUCAAAUCAUCAUGCCCCUUAUGAUUUGGGCUACACACGUGCUACAAUGGACAAUACAAAGGGCAGCGAAACCGCGAGGUCAAGCAAAUCCCAUAAAGUUGUUCUCAGUUCGGAUUGUAGUCUGCAACUCGACUACAUGAAGCUGGAAUCGCUAGUAAUCGUAGAUCAGCAUGCUACGGUGAAUACGUUCCCGGGUCUUGUACACACCGCCCGUCACACCACGAGAGUUUGUAACACCCGAAGCCGGUGGAGUAACCUUUUAGGAGCUAGCCGUCGAAGGUGGGACAAAUGAUUGGGGUGAAGUCGUAACAAGGUAGCCGUAUCGGAAGGUGCGGCUGGAUCACCUCCUUUCU
rnacentral:rRNA from 11 species